rnacentral:rRNA from 1 species
UACGUAGGGUGCGAGCGUUAAUCGGAAUUACUGGGCGUAAAGCGUGCGCAGGCGGUUUGCUAAGACCGAUGUGAAAUCCCCGGGCUUAACCUGGGAACUGCAUUGGUGACUGGCAGGCUAGAGUAUGGCAGAGGGGGGGUAGAAUUCCACGUGUAGCAGUGAAAUGCGUAGAGAUGUGGAGGAAUACCGAUGGCGAAGGCAGCCCCCUGGGCCAAUACUGACGCUCAUGCACGAA